CGCCUGUUUAUCAAAAACAUAGCCUNUAGGCCAAACCAUUAGAGGUGACUCCUGCCCAGUGAAAUAUUAAACGGCCGCGGUACCCUGACCGUGCAAAGGUAGCAUAAUCAUUUGCCCUUUAAUUGGGGGCUGGAAUGAAUGGAUUUACGUGACUAAAACUUUUCCCUAUACAACCCUAAAAAUUAUCCUUUAGAUGAAGAGAUCUAAAUUAUAAUGGAGGACAAAAAGACCCCGUCGAGCUUUACACAAAAUUUAUAUUAUUAUUCAACAUGUGUUUGGUUGGGGCGACCAAGGAAUAAACAAAUCUUCCUCUACAUAAAAGGACCCUUAUCCGCCUUAUAGACCCUAUCCUGAUCUAAAGAUAAGCUACCGCAGGGAUAACAGGCUAAUCCCCUUUAAGAGUCCACAUCGACAAGGGGGUUUGGCACCUCGAUGUUGGCUUAAGAUUUCUUUUUAAUGCAGCAGUUAAAAUAGUGGGCUUGUUCAGCCCUUAAAAUCCUUACGUGAUCUGAGUUCAGACCGG
rnacentral:rRNA from 1 species